UACGGAGGGAGCUAGCGUUAUUCGGAAUUACUGGGCGUAAAGCGCACGUAGGCGGCUUUGUAAGUUAGAGGUGAAAGCCUGGAGCUCAACUCCAGAAUUGCCUUUAAGACUGCAUCGCUUGAAUCCAGGAGAGGUGAGUGGAAUUCCGAGUGUAGAGGUGAAAUUCGUAGAUAUUCGGAAGAAACACCAGUGGCGAAGGCGGCA
rnacentral:rRNA from 1 species